CAGGGGGCAGUGAAAUAACAGAUAAAACUGCUCUACUACCCCAGGGGGCAGUGAAAUAACAGAUAAAACUGCUCUACUGCCCCAGGGGGCAGUGAAAUAACAGAUAAGGAGAAAGGUGAGACUCCACAGAGAUCAAACAUCCACUCAGGAGCUCCUGCCCUGAUAUCCACUGCAGGCUUCACCUUGGUGUCUCCCUUGGCCAGCAGACAACAGGGAUCACCUCUCCACAGCCUGAUCAUCUCUGGGGGCUGCCAGAGCUGCUGAAUCCCAUCCCUCACACUCCUGGGUGUCCAAGCCCCAGAGGCAGCCCUGCAGCUCACGCAGAAGAGGUGAUGCACAAGAGAAGGCAGCAUCCAGGAUGGGAUUGCUCCCAGAGCUGCAGCAUUCCUUCCUCCCUCCUCCUCCUCCCUGCUGAAAAAGGUGAAAUCAGCCCCUGGCAGGCCCAGCAGGGCUUGUCCUGCUGUCCUUUUCCUUUUUCCAGCUUUGGGGUGGCCUUGGGGCAGUGCUGGGACAUCCCUGGGGGUUCACCUGUGUGGUGGGAGCCCUCAGCUCAGCCCAGAAGCAGAAAGGACCCGAGGUGGGGCCCAGAGCAGCAGCUCCUUCCUUUGUUUUGGCUGCUCCAAAGGAGCUGUCCCAAUGUUUUUGGAGUGUGCUAAUAGAACCAUGGAGAAAAACAGAAACUACUGCUGAAAACAAAGAUUAAAGCAAUGCUGAGGAGUGCUCUGCUGCUUUGAUUAGGAUGAAAGGGAAGAGGGAGCAUUCUCCUUUUUUUGUUGAGCUGUUCUCUCAAAGGCAACAUUCCAUGGUGGAACUUCAUUCAGCAGCCGUGGGAUCAGCCCAUAGCAAUGAUACCACCUGGAACCUUCCACCUUCUCCUCUUCUCUGCAUGCUCCUUUUUUCUGCCCUAAGAGCACAGCCAAUUUCUAGGAGAGGGCUUGGAGCAACCUGGGAUAGUGGGAGGUGUCCCUGCCCAUGGCAGGGGUAGAAUCAGGUACUGAGGGAACCCAAACACAGGAACCAACUUCUGCAGCUGCUUUGGAAGCUGACACAUCUCCAGGGAAUUCUUCUUCCUGCCUUUGAGCCCAGGUCAUUGUGCUCCCCAGCCCCAGAGCGUGGUGGAAGUGUGCCUCUGGCCCAGAGCCAUGCAAACUUAAUUUAAUGAGCUUCCUUGUGCCCAAGUGAGGACAGUCCCCUUGGCUUGCAGGGGCAGAUGUUUCACUCUAAUGACAGCUAAUCUAAAAGCCAUUUCUUUCACCAUCAUGCCCCUGCAGAAGAUUAACUGUUAUCAUUGUGCUGCUGCUGCAUCCAGCAGUUUCCAAUUUGCCAGGGCUCCGAGGAGUCGCUAUCACCAGAAAUUGAAUGUGGUGCAUGAAAUGAUCACUGGCACUGGAGCCUGCCUCUGGAGCCUUGGCUGCUUCCCUUGGAUUUCAGCCACUCUGCUCCGUGCUGGGAUCUGCUGCUUCACUCAGCCAUUACUCAGUGGCACCUUAAGAAAAUUAGUUCAUUAUUUAGGAGGCACAGCAUUCCAGAGCUGUGGGAUUCAGGAGACUCCUUCUCCUCCUGCUGUGCAUUUCAGGAAUGACUUUUCUAUAUCCACUUGUUCUGUCAGUGCUCCAGAUGCUGCACCUGCCCACAGGUGUGUACAGACAACCCUGAGCACGGGAGCAGGGCUUUAUUGGCUCCCAGAAGUGCCUGGAGGGCAGAAAACAAACACAGCUGAUAUUGCUGAUAUUGCUGGUUGUAGCUCUCAGCAGCUGAGGAUGUCUGAGGAUGGGUGGGGAGCAAAUUUCCACCCCAAAUGGGAGGCUGAAGAACAUGAGCCAGUCCCAAAGAUGUCAGCAGAGAGUGGAAACCACUCGUGAUCACAGUGAUGCUGCUUUUAGUGCUUCACUAAUGAACCAGCAACUGAGAAAAGUGAGAAAACAGCUCCUGUCCUGGCCCUCCCUGAAGUCACAGCCUGGUGCCACUUACCCUUGGGUCCCACACUCAAUACAGGUGUGGAACGUUCACCUCUAAGGUGUGCAACCAGGUAAUUUUCAAUUAAUUCACUUCCAAAGUCUACCUUGGGCACUACAUGCAUGGCCAAGACCUCCUGGAAACCUUGGCAAGCCUCCCUUGUGUCCCUGAGAGCCACUGGGGACCUGUUCUGUGCCACAGCAGCUGUGGCUUUAGGUGUGUCACCACCCAACCUGAUCAUUUUUGAGUUUCUCUGUUCCCUACACAGCCCCAAAGAGUCAGGAGUUGCAGAGAAUGAACGAGAAUAAGAAUUUCCCCCUGGACUCUAAAGGAAAUUAAGAGCAGUAGCUCAUAAUCAGUUUGCAUGCCUCAUUCCUGAACUGCACCAGUAAAUGAGAAAAUUUAGCUGUAAAGGCAGGGGGGGAUUGUAGGAGGGAGCAGGAAGCACAGGAGGAUGCUAAUGAUUCCAUCCCACCCUGGUUUGUGUUUUGUUAUCCCCCUCAUUUGUGCUUUCAUCUCCAGGUGGGUGCAGCCACACCCCAAAACCUUCCUUGGGGUGACCCAGGGUGAGGGACCUGGAGUCCCCACGGAGCCCCAGUCUCAGAUCCAGAUCAGUAGUGGAUGAAAUGGAAAACUGACAGGAAUUAGCAUUUCCCCACUUGAAAUGACCACCUCAGAGAGCUUCUUGAUUGCUUAGAAAGCUCAGAUGUGCUGUUAGAAGACAUUCCAGCACUGGUAAUGUGCUCCAGCUGUUCUCUGGAAGUCACAUUCCAAUCUGAAAUUAUUGGGAACACCUCUGAGUGCCUGUCACGGUGCAGGGUUUGUUCUCUCACUGCAGACUUUAACAAUGGGAACAAUUAUACCUUGCCAUGUGCUAAUUUUUGCAGCCUUGCCAAGAGGAUUUUUUGCAAUGUUGUUUCUUUUCUUCUCGUGCAUCAUUUGGCCAUUCUUGAUCUGCUUCCUGAAGUAAACAGGUAAUUAGCCAUCUACAGAAAUUGCCCUGUGUCCACACCAUUAAUGUGCUUGGAUGUUUUAAUUGAUUGCAUUCUCAAAUGGCUUGGAUGGCUUAAAUGCCAGCUAAUGCAAUCCAAUUAAGACUCCUAAUAAACCUGCCUGAUGAACUGCAGGAUAAUCACACAUCAAGCACAGAUGUAGAGGAAAAUGCCACGGAAGUGACAGCUCAGAAUAGACUGUGUCAUUUGGAAAGAUCCAAACCAUUCUCAGCAGGGAAACUGGGAACAUUCACUCGGACUGGUGCUGGAUUUGGGCCCCAGGACCUGAUCCAACACAACUUUUAAGCACACACUUACAUCAGUUCCUAUGCACAAAACCUUUUACACAGAGUCAUGGAACAGCCCAGGUUGGAAGGGACACCAAAAGGUCAUGUGAGCUCCAGUGGGAAAGGGGUUCUAGAUAAGAUUAUCCAGGACCCUGCUCAGCCUGGGAAAUCUCAGAAACUUCCAGUGAGGGGGACCUUAUCAUGUCCCUGGGGAGGCUCUUCCAGUGAUUGAUUAUUCUCACUGGAAAGAAAAGAAUUCUUUUAACAAGAUUAAAUUUUUCCCACUCCAACCUCCUUUUGGCCCUCAAUCUCCCACAUUAAAAGAACAACUCAAUGAUCACCUCGAGGAAGCACAAAUGCAAAGGAGAUUUCAGGUGAUAUGAAGGGGGGAGGCUCUUAAAAAUAUUAUUCAAACAAAAUUAGCUGAGGCAGCAGGAAGUUAAAUAAAUUCCUGCUGGGAGAGGAUGUGAACUUCCAGUAGUGCCCCACAAGUAACUCAUUUGAGGAUGGUGCAGUGUCUUUGUGGCAGCUCUGGAGGUCUUUCCUCAGCCCAAACAGAGAUUAGGGAUUUAAUGGAGCAAUCUGUGUGAAAUUCUCUGCUCUGUUCUGCCAGAUGCCAGACAAGACAUAAUAGCUCCUCUGGCAUCAAUGUCUAUUAAUCUAAUCUUGACUUUGAUUCUCUGUGUGACUCCCUUUCAUCUGUAAAAUGGGGAUAAUUCUCUCUUUCAGAUGCUUGUCAGUACCUCUUCGUUCCGGGUACACGGCGCUUUGAAGAUGACAUUAUUUGUACAUUUUCCAUUAUUGUCACAGAGCUGCACAUUGUCCCUGGCCCUUGUCCCUGUCCCUGUCCCCAGCCCCUGGCCCUGGCCCCCUCACACUCACUGUCCAUGCAGGGCUAAGUUCAGCCCUCGGGCUGAAGGAUGCCAAGCCCCUGAUUUCCCCCACAGCAUCCUAAUUGCCAGUGGGAACACAAGGGAAAGGAAAGGGCUGGGUGAAAAUGGGAAUUUUGCUGAAAAUUAAGCACAUUUAUAAGGGUUUUGGUAGUCCAGCAUUUCACAGUCUUGCUGAAACCAAGUGUAAUAAUUUAUUGAAGAGGAUUUUAUGGCUUGGACUUCUGUGUUGCAUUAAAUAAAGUGCCUGGUGUUUAAAUACAGGACUAGGGUUAGAUACUCUAACUUUUCAACUGAUCUGAACAGCUUUCCUUGGAAACAGGAAUCAUCUCCUUGUCAUAUUUUAACGCAGUACAUUUAAUGGAACAGCUGAAACUUGCAUGUGCUCUGUAACUGAAAAUAAUUCAAGGUAACAUAUCUGAGAUUUAUUUUGUUUGGAAUCUGUCUUCCUAUACAGCAAAGCAAGGCAAAAAAAUAUACCUUUAUACCUUUCAAGCUGUGUGCAUAGAAUUUUGAAGCGUUUAUUUUCAUUAAGAAUAUAAUUGCAAUAUUGAAAUAAUUACAAUACUGAAAUUGGGUGUGAAAAUGAGACACUGCAUUCCAGAAGUCUUGAAAAACCUCUUGGGGAAAAAGGUAAAGCACCUCAGGGGAAAUGAGAACUUUCCUAAGAAUUAAUUACUGUAAUAGAAGAGAAUUCUCCAAAUGCUGAGAAGCCAGGAAAUCACCUUGUCCUCUUAAAGGCAGCCCUGCUACACAACCUGAUUUCCAGUCUGGAUAUAAAACCGAGUGAUUUCAGACGUGUUGGAAGGGGUUAAAUCCCUGAGAAGUCUCAGAGCAUUUAAUUCAUUGGGCACUGGGAGCCACCUGAGUGUGAGUGAGGGGGAGAGAGGGAGAUUUGGGCACAGCACUUUGCAAAGAACCAUUCCUGGGGAGAGCCUGCGAGGGGCUCAGUGCUGGGAACAUGAAUAAACAUUUCUUUCUGACUGCCAGAAAACACAAACAGCCCAGUUCCACGCCAGAAACUGCUCGAGGCACCUCUGCAGCUGAAAAACCACAGGAGCCAGGUAAGACACUUCAGCUUUUUUACCUGCUUGUGUCUGCAGUGAAUGCUUCCAGAAACUCAGGGCAGGAGCUGCUGUACCUUUCCUGCAUAACAACACUGAUGUCUGGUCGUUUUUAAUUCUGGGGGUGCUCCAAGGAUGCUCAUCUCUAAAGGGAGAGCAAGAGAAGAGUUUUGAAACAGCACCUAAACUUUGAGGUUUUCCCAAUUCUGAACUGCCUCUAUCAGGACUUAUUUCCACCACACACAGCUGGCAGCCAACCUGCUCCAAGAAGAUAUUUCAAUGCUGAGCUUUAUUUCUUUUCUGCUGGCUGACAGAUGACAGGGUUCUGCUGGCUCUCAGAGACAAACCCAUUAUUUCUGAGCACAAUGAGUUCUCCUCUGUGGGCAGCAUCCCUGCCACAAUAAAUCACAGGCUACAUCCAGCCAUUGUCCUGGAGCCAGGCAUCUGCUGAUUCACCAGGGAGAGGCUGCUGGGUUGGGUUUUUUUGUUUUAGUGUCACCCUAUAGCUUCAGAUUUUGUUCUGGAUUUAAGUGAAAAGUGUAUGAUAUAAUAAUCUCAUUUGCUGGCAUUUUGACUGGAAUAAUGGGCACUGUUCUGGUUACUAAACUGACCAUUUUACACAUGCAUUAUAAAUCUUGGUUCAGGUCAGUUUUCCUGUUUAGAUUAAUUUAUAUGCACAGAAGAAAUAGAUCUUUGUACCUGUGUAACCUAAACAUUGAAACUGAGGUGACACCAGGUAACAGCUCUCUUUCCAGACUUAUGGUUCUUUAUUGUACUAAAACCAAAAAGGUAAAAAUUAAAAGAUGUUUUAAGCAGUC